UCAUCUCUUAUCCAAUGACGAAACCCCGGUAUCUCGCUUGGGUCUGUUGACCGAGCGAUUCGCUGGGUUCGUAGCCACCGAAUCCUCGCCGCCAAUUUCGUGGAGUUCGGUUGCCUCACCAGUAUAUAUCAUGCGCACCGCACAUGUGUCCCAUCUAUCGAGAGCCUAGGAAGUGAGACGAGCCUGCAGAUUCCGGUGAGAUCAGGCGCCCUGCGCCUGCUGUUGAGGGAGAGCGAGGGACACCCACCGCCACCGUGUGCAUCUGUGUCGUGAGGAGAGAGUGCGGUGGUUCGCCGAACAACGAAGGAUCCGUGCGCCCCCCAUAUCUGGCCUUCAUCGCCGAUUUGGAGUCUGCGGGUGGUCGAGGGCGCUCGGCCGAACGUGUGGAGCUCCGUUGUAGAGAGAAGUUGAGGGAUGGAUCGCAGGACUGCUAUGUGCUCGUCGCGGUGGUGAACGGAAGUCUUCUCGGCGUCCAAUUUGGUGGUGGCAGGGGUGGUGCUGGGCGAGCCCUCGCCGGACAUCGCACUCCAUGGCAGAAUCUGUGCCACCAUGUGCCGUGAAUCGUGCUGCUGCGCACCGUGGGCAGCCAUGCCUGUGCUUUGUGUCAUGGUGAGACUUCCUUCCCUGGAUUCGCAUUCUUCUCCUCUGCGCGUAGAACCUUUCGAAUCGUGACUUGGGGACGCCAGGGCCUCGGGCCAUCUACUCGCCGGUGAACUACCGCCGUGGGGGUUUGGCGACGCCACCUGUGCCGGCCAGAGGUAGAAGGUAAGCGUUGUGGCCGUCGAUCGGAUAUUCUGCGGCUGCGAUUAGAUCCGGGUCCCUUCUCGCGUGGUCGAUCUCUGCCCUCCAUCAGAAAUCGGUCGGCAGAGAGCGUGUCUUCACCGUGUUUGGAUCUGAACCGUAGUUGGCUAAUCAUAGGGCUGUAGCGUGGUCAGUGGAGUGCAUUGAUCUUGCCCGCUGACCAUCGAUCGGGCGGUUACGGGUGAACACUGGCUCAGGAUGAAGACACGAUCUAAUCAUCGCCGUUGGUGAGCAAUCGGGCGGCUAGGAUUUAACCAUACCCUUUCGGCCUUGACAAGUUGCUAAAGAGCCCUCGUAGAAUCAGGGAUUCAACCCGCCGUCCUAGCAUUGGUAGGCUAAGUCUUAGGAUAAUUUGCGCUGAGACCCCUGUCCUUCCCCAAAAUUGGCGCACAGUCCAAGGAAAUAGAAAAUCAGAGAAUUUGAUUUAUAAAAUGAAUUUAUUAUAUAAAAACAAUUCAGAAUCUUGUUAAAUCCAUAGAAAAAUUCAUAUUAAGUUCAAAUUAGUUCAUUCCAAUUUCUAUAAUUCUAUAAUAUUAUUGUUUAUCAAUUAGUGCCACUGAUUUGACAUGAAAGUCACUUUAAAAUUUAUUUCUUAAUUAAUCUCGGAUCAAAUACACAAAACCUUAGAAAAUUCAUAUCUCCUCCGUUUUAAAUCUGAUUUGACUCGUUCCAGUUGCGAUAGCUUCGUAUAAAUAUCUACUACACAAUAGCAACAUUUAUUAUAUAAUAUCUCAUACUUUUAUAAUUGGGUUAAUCUAUGUCUCUUGGACUAACUUCUUUAAUAUUCUAACUUUAUGGCUAUAAUUUAACCAGAUAAUCUUUGAUCAAAUAAUGACUUAGAUUAAAGUGGAGAUAGUUAUUUAUAGAAUAAUCUCUUAUAUGAUUUCUAAUAACCAAAUUAUAAUAUAGUUUAAUAUUUUAGUCACAUAAAUCAUCUAUAAAAUCAUAACUCCUUAACCUUGACUCCGAUCUUAGUAGCUCUCGAACCCACGAUCUCGUAGCUUCGCGUAGAUCAUUAUUAUGCAGUAUGUUCUUAUGUUUGGUGUGAUGUUAAUUUUGUCUAUACCAUGUAUGUUUGUAUUGCUACGACUAGCAGUGCGGUCACGGGGAUCUGAAGAAUCACCCUGGUAACUGGAAUCUCAAGUGCCAGGCAAGUUGUGCCCUUGAUCACUUCUUUUUACCCACUCAUGUUCUAAUUAAUCAAAAUGAUCUGCAUAGGUUAAUUUUGAUGGGACCCAAUAGGUUACCCUAGUUUGUUUAUCCUGUUUACCUUGUUUACCCCUGAAUCAAUUGGGUAGUUAUGCUAUUGCUUUAUAUGGUUUUUGGGUUAAUAUUUCAUUACAUCCAUGUUCCAAUUAUUCUGUUAUGUUAUUUAUGUUCAUGAUAAGAUCAUUAUGUUAAUUGGAACAUGGAGCGACCACCCGGGAAAACAGUGCUACCACAAGGGUUUAAUGGGACGCCCUUGGCUGAUUAACUAGGAAAGCUAGUGGAGGUCUUCCUUACCCGAAAGGGGCAAGGGCAGUAGGGGAGUGGUCAGUGUAGGGAGGUCCUUGGGUUGACUUUGCUGCGAUGGCGGUCAGACAAGAACCCUGCAUUGGAGCUUCCUAUAAAUUGUAGCGGGAUUUCUGAAGCUAGUGGAACUUUGUAAAGGCCUCGUAGUGUUACCCUGCCUCGCUUCCUUGGUAGAGGUGUAUGGGACUCAUGACCCCUUGGUAGAUGGGUAACACGGCUUGUGGGUAAAGAUGUGUAACCUCUGCAGAGUGUAAAACUAGUAUACUAGCCGUGCUCACGGUCAUGAGCGGCUCGGACCCUCACAUGAUUAAUUUAUGGAACCUAAAUUCAAUUUGUCAUUUGCAUUUGCAUGGGAUUUGUUAUUAAUUUUGUUCCAUUAUUUAUUAUGGUUUGGUAUUUACUUACACCUAGUAAUUGCUAAUAAAAUUUUGACCAACAUUAAAAGCAAUGCUCAACUUUAACCAUUCUCUUUGAUAAGCCUUACACUUCACAUGAACUCCCACCUUUUGUGAGUUCAUGUCACAUUAUUCCCCACAACUUGUUGAGCGAUGAACGUAUGUGAGCUCACUCUUGCUGUCUCACACCCCCCCACAGGAGAAGAACAGGUGGUUCAAGAGGAGCCGCAUAUCGAGGAGUUCGAUUCGAUCUAGGUGGCGUCUCCCAGUUGACUUUCUGGCGCCUAGGAUAGAUUUUAGAUCAUGUUAUAUUUAUCUUUUAUUUUUGUAAGUCUUCCGCUAUGUAUUAAGUACUCUGAUUAUUGUGACAUUUAUCUCUAUACACUCUGUGAUUAUAUAUGUUGUCUUCUUUGGCGCAUGUAUGAGAUGCACCCGGCUUUGUCCCCUUAAAAUCGGGUGUUACAGAAGUGGUAUCAGAGGAAUGUCGACUGUAGGACGAAACCUAGAUAGAACUGGAUAACCCUUACCUACUUACCUUACUCUGAUUCUUUCUAUACUUAUCUUGAUCCUGUCUCACCUUCUACUGUUCUACUCUGAUUAACCUUACCUUUGCUACUCUGAUUCUUUUCUAAACUCAUCUUAAUCUUUUCUCAUCUAUUUCUGCUUUACUCUGAUUACUCUUACCUUUCCUUCUAAAGACUAAUGUGGAUUUCACACUUUGAAAUCAUGUGCCUAAGUUGACCUUUAGGAAUAAGAGACCUACUCUUAGGAACAAAAAUAAAACUAUUUUUAUAGGUAUCUAUACGCUUGAGUGUUUGUUCUUAUGAUACUUGUCUGAUUUGGAUCUUUGAUUGAGUGUGAUGGGUUGUGGAGUAAUGUCCACAAUUACAUCUGCAUAUACGUAUAAGCUUAAAUAGAAUUCAUAAGAAAACUAAGCAAUUUAGAUUAUCCUCCAUUAAAAUGUAUCUAUCUCAUAGAGAUUCCUCUAAUCUUAAAAGACUCUUCCAUAUCUUAAUAGAUUCAUCGUAUCUUAUAAGAUUCUCUCUUAUCUUACUAGAUCCACCUCAUCUCAAAAGAUUCUUCUUACCUUAAUAAAUUCAUCUUAUCUUGAAGAGAUUCUAUCUUAUCAUAACAUAUCUAACUAAUCUCAAAAGAUUCUAACAUAUCUUAAUAAUACAUAUUCUACCCUGUUGGACCUAUCUAACCUAAACUAGUCUAAUCUAGUCACAUCCAAUCUAAUCUAGAUCUUAUCUUACCUAAUGUGACCUGAUCUAGUGUGGUCUAAUGUUAUCUAACCUAAUGUGGUCCACUUAAACAGAUUAAUGGCACUAGUAGAAGAGAUUAGACCCUACUAGCCAUGUAUUAACUUAACUUAGCACAUUGGAUCAACUCAACCAUGAGCUAACCCAACCCAUAGAGCCAUGAUGAAUGGUAUAACCUUUCUAUUCCCACCUAACAACAAACAAACUUUUAACCUACAUCUUGUAGUCUAUCUCACCCAUAUAUAUCUCUCAUUUUGAUAGAUUCUAUCGUACCUUUGGACAUUCACCUUAUACGACUAGUUAUCACAAUCUUGAUAUAAAACAAAGAUUAAGCCCUACUAAGAAUCUUCAGAUCAUAACCAGAUACUAGCUCAUUCAUUCCGCUUAUCGAAUAAUUUCCCUUGCAAAACUAUUUUGUCAUAUGAUUCUAACUUCGAUGGUAAAUACCAGGAAGAAAAGAUCAUCAGACAAUAGCA
rnacentral:lncRNA from 1 species